ensembl:lncRNA
GAAAGGGGAGAAUGAGGGGGCCACAUGAUUGCCCACACCCUCAGAGAGACCUGGGUCCCUUCCCCAUUGAUAGCUGGAAUGCAAAACUCCCACAGAUGAGUCUAGUGCACGGGCCCCUGUCCUCUUACAGGGUAGGGGGUACCCAGUGAUGUGGUCGAGAGCCUCCCUCACCCCUGCCCCGAGCUCAGGUUAGCCCAAGCUGCCUCUCCCUGGAACCUGCUGUGGGCCUUCUCUUCUUUUUCUUGGUUUCAGCAGCACUGACAGAAGAAGGGGUUUAGUUAGGCAUGGAACUAUACUCAGGCUUCACUUGAAAGCAGUUUCCAGAUCUCUUCCUAAAUUCAUUCCUUCCCUCCAUUUACCUUGUCUGGUUUACCACGAUGCUGGCCACUGCUCCCAGGGGUCAAGAUUGGAGCACCUAAGAGACUCAAGGACAGAGGUGACUCUGUGGAAGUUAGGGUGGCACAUUCAUUUCCACGAACUGUUCCUUGGGACAACAGCAACAAAAAGGCAUGGAGGAAGUAAUUACAGCUGGAGCCACAGAUCUUGCACAUGGCAGCAGGAGUUGUUUUGCCUGUUGGAGAUUAAGAGUACCAGAGAUGUCUCCAAGAGCACCAGCAACCCCAGAGAUCUGGAUCUGAAGUGGAUAUGUUCAGAGGCGUCCUGGCCCACCCCACCCACCACCCCAGAGAAGAUGCUGCUGCACUCAGAAGAUGCCAGAGCUAGGCGCCACCCAUACUGCAAGUCUGGAAGCUCCGCAAAGACCCAGCAAGUAUUUCAGAGGCUGCCAAGUUGCUCUCCUGUUUCCUCUUCCUCGGGGCUGAUUGCAUCCCAUGGUGUGCCAAGGUUUUGAGACACUCCUCAUGAAUGAAAAUAGAACUGUCUGAUUCCUCCAUCCGUAGCAAGGGAGGCUGGACAGAAAUAACUUCUGUGCAUUUCUCCAGCUACAUUUAGUUAAGUGAUGCCUUUUCUUCGUUUUCUUUAAGAUGUCCUAUAAAACCCUAUUGAUUUAGCUCAGUUGUUUGAAAUUUAUGAUGCUUUAGAUAGGCUUUGGCCUGAGAUUGCCUUGAGGAAUGGUGCAGGUAAGCAAAUUAAGAAUAAAAAUAAGAUUGCAAAAAGUUGCACCACUUAAGGGAAUAAGUUGCUUUUUUCAUUGUCUUGAAUAAUUUGUUCUUAAACGCAUCAGAGGGACCAAAUCAUAGCUGACUGAUCAGCUCAUUAUAAAUAAUUCUCACCUACUCGUAAAAGCAGGGGCCUGUUGUGCACUUGCUACUUCUGUUUAGAGAAUAUUGUGCUUCAAGCCCAUUGGAUUUGAAAGUAAUAAAAAUGGCCUUUUUAAAACAAACAUUCUAGAAUGAGCACUUCAUUAAACCGAGACCCACCUUUUACCCAAAUUUAGCUAGACUUUAAUGUGCAUCACACAUCUCUAAUCUGGGCUUUUCCUAUAGCCUAUUUCAAAAGACAUAUUUGUUCAGCCUUAUCAGUAAGGUAUUCAAUCAUGCUUCCCUUGUAUCAGGCACCUCAAGGGCAGGAGAUAACACAAAUGUGCUUGGUUUUUAAUAGCUGAAAAUAUGUCUACGUGAGGUUAACUGUAUUUACCCAGUGCCAGAUACAGGAAAGGAGUGUGAAAAAUUAAGGUAAUUAUUAAUGUCUCCAAAUAGCUGGAUGAUGGUGUCAUAUUUGCAAUGCAUAGAUUAUGCCAUCAUGUCGAUUUGGGACACUUUGGGAGGUUGGGAAUGGGAUGGAGUUGGGUGACAGUGAAUAACAUCAGACAGGGUGGCUAUGUAAUUCCAAAGUUGGAAUUAGUGUCUCUAUUUUAACAGCAAUUCCUUUAUUUAACAGCAAUUCUUUUCUGUUUAUCAUUUUAGGGAAAACUAGAAAAUACAGAAACAUAUCAAGAAGAAAAAAAUUUAAAAAUCACCGAAAAUCCCCCCAACCAGAGACAGUUAUUAAUGAUUGUGGUAUAUUUAUUGUAAGCCUCUUUAUUUCUGUGUUCAUGCAAACAAAUUUUUAAAGAAUGGACACUGGUAUUAUAUUGUUUAUACAACUUUAAAUGCUGCUUUUUCACUCAUUACAGUUAGGACUUUUUUUCAUGUUAAUAAAUACUUUUUCCUGAAAACAUAAAUAUCUAAUUGUUACAUCAUAAUUUAUUAACUUUCCCUUGCUGAUGAACAUUUAGGUUGCUUUCAUUUUUUCUUGCUUAUAUAAAAUAAACAUUCUUGAACAUAAAUACAUGUUAACAGCUCUGAAAAUUAUUCCAUGCCCUUAUUCUUUUUGUUGUUGUUGUUGAGAUAGGGUCUCACUCUGUCUCCCAGGCUGGAGUACAAUGGCAUGAUCUCUGUCUCCUGGGUUCAAGAGAUUUUUGUGCCUCAGCCUCCCAAGUAGUGGGACCACAGGUGUGCGCCACCAUGACUGGCUAAUUUUUGUAUUUUUUGGUAGAGAUGGGGUUUCACCGUGUUGGCCAGGCUGGUGCUGAACUCCUGGCCUCAAGAGAUCCGCCUGUCUCAGCCUCCCAAAGUGCUGGGAUUACAGGCGUGAGCCACUGUGCCCAGCCAUGCCCUUAUUCUUGAUCACCUUCCCUACUUGGAGGGGUUAUGGAGAUAUACAGUGUGCCUAAGAUCCUGAUAACAGACCAGAUGGUUUAUUUUUUGUGGCAACGAUGUUUUGCGGCAAGGAUAUUUUGCAUUGAUCAGUUGAAUUUAAUAAAUUAAUUACUUAAUUUAUUCAACAGGAAUUUACUAAAGUCAUGCUAUACGCUAGGCACUGUGGAGGGACUGCAAAAAGACUUCAAGGACUGCACCAUCUUGUUGGAAAGAUGCCUAGACAACAUUUGAGAAACCUGAUCAGUUUGAUGACACAUAACUGCUAACAGUUACAUGGAACUUUCUAUAUGCUGUAUAUAGACAUACAAAUAAGUGUAUGUAUAUUUACUUCAACCUUCUCAACAGCUACUACUAUUAUUAUGAAUCCUGUUUUAUAGUGAGAAAACCGAAACAUGGAGAGGUUAAGUAAUUUGCCCAAGAUCACAUAGCUAAUAAGUGGUGGAACCGUGAUAAGAAUCCAGGCAUUUGGGCUCCAGAGUUCAUACUCUUCACAUACCACAUCUAGCUUGAAUAUAACAAUGUAGAGAAAAAGAAUUAUAGAAAGUAUAUGUCUAGGUAAGCAUUUUCCAGAAGUGACUGGUUUUUUGCAUUCGGUGUGUAAACUUUCAACAAUAAAGCAGGUUGGACUUUUUAUCAGUCAAAGCAGAAUAUUCUGAUGUCACUUUUCCCAAUGUUUAGGAUGUUAAUGAGAAUUGCUAAUCCAAGAGAAGAAAAUAAUCUCAUCUGAUUUGGGUAAGUCAAUUAUUGGAAAGUAGAAGAACCACCCUUCCACCUCUCUUGUCCUGAGGAACUUCUGGGGGGAAGUACUGGAAAAAUAAUGCUUUACAAUAAGCCCAAUAGGGCUUUUGAUUUGUAAUAACUAUUUUAAUAAAUAUCAAUUCAAUUCCUAUACUUUUUAAGAAGUUCAUUGAAUGAAUUAAAGAACAAAUGAAUGAGCAAUGCUUUAGGCUAUAGGCUUUCAGAGGACAUAAUUCUAUGAAACAG